CCCCAGCAGAUGUUUGAUAUCAGCACUGAUCCCAGCCAAGAGGAUCACCUGGCCCAGGCCAUCCUUCAGGGUGCUUCCUUACUGUCUUCCGUGGAUGACGACGGUGCUUUUGAUGCUUCCCUGAACGUCAGGCCCAGCCAUGAACCACCCUGGAUG